AAGCCAAUGAGGUUUUUUAUAAAUAUGAAUUUUUGGAAUUACCGUCUGAAAAUUAUUGAUGUGUAUUCGGCUGUCUGAGGCUUCAC
rfam:Capsicum annuum cultivar Zunla-1 unplaced genomic scaffold scaffold4808, whole genome shotgun sequence